rnacentral:rRNA from 1 species
CUCAGAACGAACGUGGGCGGUGUGCCUAAUACAUGCAAGUCGAGCGAGAAAACCGGGGCAACUCGGUGAGUACAGCGGCGGAAGGGUGCGUAAUACAUGGAUAACGUACCCCCCAGAUCGGGAUAACCCUCCGAAAGGUGGGCUAAUACCGGGUAAUGGCAGCGGGUGGCAUCAUUUGCUGCUUAAAGACGCAAGUCGCUGGGGGAGCGGUCCAUGGCCUAUCAGCUAGUUGGCGGGGUAACGGCCCACCAAGGCGAUGACGGGUAGCCGGACUGAGAGGUUGAACGGCCACACGGGAACUGAGACACGGUCCCGACAUCUACGGAUGGCAGCAGUAGGGAAUCUUGCACAAUGGGCGAAAGCCUGAUGCAGCGACACCGCGUGGGGGAUGAAGGCCUUCGGGUUGUAAACCCCUUUCAUGAGGGAAGAAUACUGACCUAACCUCAGGAAGAAGCACCGGCUAACUCCGUGCCAGCAGCUGCGGUAAUACGGAGAGUGCAAACGUUGUUCGGAUUCACUGGGCGUAAAGGGCACGUAGGCGGCUCGGCAAAUCGGUCGUGGAAUCUCGACGCUUACCGUCGAAACGGCGGCCGAAAAUACCGGGCUCGAGGGCGUGAGGGGUCACUGGAACUCCUGGUGAAGCGGUGAAAUGCGUAGAUAUCAGGAGGAACGCCGGAGGCGAAAGCGAGUGACUGGCGCGUUCCUGACGCUGAGGUGCGAAAGCUAGGGGAGCAAACAGGAUUAGAUACCCUGGUAGUCCUAGCCGUAAACGAUGGACACUGAGUGAAGGAGGGCUUGCCCUUCUUUGCUGCAGCUAACGCGUUAAGUGUCCCGCCUGGGGAGUACGGCCGCAAGGUUAAACUCAAAU